rnacentral:rRNA from 1 species
GGAUAACCUACCUAUAAGACUGGGAUAACUUCGGGAAACCGGAGCUAAUACCGGAUAAUAUUUUGAACCGCAUGGUUCAAAAGUGAAAGACGGUCUUGCUGUCACUUAUAGAUGGAUCCGCGCUGCAUUAGCUAGUUGGUAAGGUAACGGCUUACCAAGGCAACGAUGCAUAGCCGACCUGAGAGGGUGAUCGGCCACACUGGAACUGAGACACGGUCCAGACUCCUACGGGAGGCAGCAGUAGGGAAUCUUCCGCAAUGGGCGAAAGCCUGACGGAGCAACGCCGCGUGAGUGAUGAAGGUCUUCGGAUCGUAAAACUCUGUUAUUAGGGAAGAACAUAUGUGUAAGUAACUGUGCACAUCUUGACGGUACCUAAUCAGAAAGCCACGGCUAACUACGUGCCAGCAGCCGCGGUAAUACGUAGGUGGCAAGCGUUAUCCGGAAUUAUUGGGCGUAAAGCGCGCGUAGGCGGUUUUUUAAGUCUGAUGUGAAAGCCCACGGCUCAACCGUGGAGGGUCAUUGGAAACUGGAAAACUUGAGUGCAGAAGAGGAAAGUGGAAUUCCAUGUGUAGCGGUGAAAUGCGCAGAGAUAUGGAGGAACACCAGUGGCGAAGGCGACUUUCUGGUCUGUAACUGACGCUGAUGUGCGAAAGCGUGGGGAUCAAACAGGAUUAGAUACCCUGGUAGUCCACGCCGUAAACGAUGAGUGCUAAGUGUUAGGGGGUUUCCGCCCCUUAGUGCUGCAGCUAACGCAUUAAGCACUCCGCCUGGGGAGUACGACCGCAAGGUUGAAACUCAAAGGAAUUGACGGGGACCCGCACAAGCGGUGGAGCAUGUGGUUUAAUUCGAAGCAACGCGAAGAACCUUACCAAAUCUUGACAUCCUUUGACAACUCUAGAGAUAGAGCCUUCCCCUUCGGGGGACAAAGUGACAGGUGGUGCAUGGUUGUCGUCAGCUCGUGUCGUGAGAUGUUGGGUUAAGUCCCGCAACGAGCGCAACCCUUAAGCUUAGUUGCCAUCAUUAAGUUGGGCACUCUAAGUUGACUGCCGGUGACAAACCGGAGGAAGGUGGGGAUGACGUCAAAUCAUCAUGCCCCUUAUGAUUUGGGCUACACACGUGCUACAAUGGACAAUACAAAGGGCAGCGAAACCGCGAGGUCAAGCAAAUCCC